CUUGAGACUCUGCUUCAGUUUAGGGAUGAGAAGUAUGCAAGCCUGAAGCUGCUGCAGAAAGAAGACUUUGAUAAUGUGUGCACAGUCACUACUGCACACAAGAUGCUGGUCUUACAAGAAUUUAACCGAGGUCACAAACAGCAAUUCCUGGCAAAGUUAAUUUGCAACAGAUAAUAGCAAUGGCAUUUCAGUCAUUUCAACUCUCCCCAGCCUAAAGUUUCCAAAACAAAAUAAGGAAGGAGCACCUACGAUCAUAUAUUCAACUGUCUUAUUA
rnacentral:lncRNA from 1 species